rnacentral:misc_RNA from 1 species
GAUGAAGAACGCAGCGAAAUGCGAUAAGUAAUGUGAAUUGCAGAAUUCAGUGAAUCAUCGAAUCUUUGAACGCACAUUGCGCCCCUUGGUAUUCCGAGGGGCAUGCCUGUUCGAGCGUCAUUAUAACCCUCAAGCUCAGCUUGGUGUUGGGGCCUGCUGCAGUGGCAGCCCUUAAAAUCAGUGGCGGCGCCAUCUGGCUCUAAGCGUAGUAAUUCUUCUCGCUAUGGAGUCCUGGUGGAUGCUUGCCAUCAACCCCCAAUUUUUCUAUGGUUGACCUCGGAUCAGGUAGGGAUACCCGCUGAACUUAAGCAUAUCAAUAGCGGAGGA